rnacentral:rRNA from 1 species
ACUGCUCAGUAACACGUGGACAACCUAACCUACAGAAGGGGAUAACCCCGGGAAACUGGGGAUAAUACCCUAUAGACUAUGGAUGCUGGAAUGCUUCGUAGUUGAAAGGUCCGCCGCUGUAGGAUGGGUCUGCGGCCGAUUAGGUUGUUGUUGGGGUAACGGCCCAACAAGCCUGUAAUCGGUACGGGUUGUGGGAGCAAGAGCCCGGAGAUGGAUUCUGAGACACGAAUCCAGGCCCUACGGGGCGCAGCAGGCGCGAAAACUUUACAAUGCGGGAAACCGUGAUAAGGGAACUCUGAGUGCCCGUAAAAUCGGGCUGUCCAUCAGUUUAAAUAACUGGUGAAGAAAGGGCCGGGCAAGACCGGUGCCAGCCGCCGCGGUAAUACCGGCGGCUCGAGUGGUGGCCACUAUUACUGGGCUUAAAGCGUUCGUAGCUGGUUUGUUAAGUCUCUGGGGAAAUCUUCCGGCUUAACCGGAAGGCGUCUCAGGGAUACUGGCAGACUAGGGACCGGAAGAGGUGAGAGGUACUCCAGGGGUAGGAGUGAAAUCCUGUAAUCCUUGGGGGACCACCUGUGGCGAAGGCGUCUCACCAGAACGGCUCCGACAGUGAGGGACGAAAGCUGGGGGAGCAAACCGGAUUAGAUACCCGGGUAGUCCCAGCCGUAAACGAUGUGCAUUAGGUGUAUCGGUGACCACGAGUCACCGAGGUGCCGAAGAGAAAUCGUGAAAUGCACCGCCUGGGAAGUACGGUCGCAAGGCUGAAACUUAAAGGAAUUGGCGGGGGAGCAC